UCCAGUUUUGUUUCUGGAUUCUCUCUCUC
rnacentral:piRNA from 1 species